UGGCCUAGUGGUUAAGGCUAUGGAUCGCCAAUCCGCAGACGGUGGGUUCGAUUCCCAU
rnacentral:tRNA from 1 species